AUCCUUGCUUGACUUGAGAGGUAUGAGGUUGGAACGGCUGUAGCCAUCUCCAUCUAUUGAGGGAACACGGGUUUGAGAACACAGUCAAGUCAGGACGAGAACAAGAGACGCUGGAUCUUGAGGACAGUGCUUGAGCCCUCGAAUCAAUCAAUGUCUAAACUAAUGGAGGGUCGAUGAAGACAUUUGGCCAGAGGACCCUGAAACACCUGAAUCCCACCUUUGGCUGGCUAGCCCCAUUUCUCAGCAGUGCCUUCACAGGAGCGGUAAGUAGCACUUUAUUUUUAGAGAGAGCUUUGGUGAAAAACCAUAAUGCAAACUUGAGCAAGAGUGGACCUCAUGCUUCUUGCCUGUCAUGGUUCAAGCCCAAUUCUCAGGUAUUACCUGUUCGACUUUCUAGUUUCAUGUUCUCUGCCUCUGGCUGAUGUGUAUUGGCUCAGGUUUUUUGUGGUUUGGUUUUGAUUCUUGGUUUUCAACUAUAUCAGAGAAAAAAGCGAAAGUAUUUUGUCACCUUUGCCUAGAAUAUUUGCCGAAUGGUGGCUGCCCAAGUCCUUUCAAAUUGAGUGAAGAAAUCUGAGCCUGCUUCCAGGUGGGAGGAGGACUGUGUUUC
rnacentral:lncRNA from 1 species